AGAAAAGUGAAAUAAACUCUACAAUCUUCUGUAUAUGUAAAACCAACUUCAAAUUAACUUUAAAUAUUUUAUCCAUUAAAGCGUGAUUUGUAAUUAAAACUAAUCAUAAAUGGUUGGAAAAUAACAAUUCCACUGCCUGCAGGGCAACCCGUGACUUACAAAUUCUCUAAUACAUUUUAUGAUGUUUGCAAGCAAAUCAUUUCAGUCAGUUUGGGGUGUGGACUGACUGAAAGGACUACAACACCUUUGUACUAUUGUCUAUUCUGUAUUAAUAAUUAUUCUUAAUUUUAAUCUUAUGGUUAUUUAUUAAACAGAGUAGUUAGUUAACUCUGUGCCUGCAAGAUGCCAUGAUCCUGAUACUUGAAGAUAAACUCAAAUUAUUAAAGUCCAUUACUGUGCCUGACACAUACCAGGAAGUAUUUCCAUACAGUUCUGGGUUUUCUCAGAAUAUGAUGCUGUGUUGUGGAAGCAAAUCUCCAAUUUGGCAUCAGUCCAAAUAACUACUUGCAAGCUCAAUAUUGCAAGCUUGAGCUACGCUUGUACAAAGAAGAGACAUCAUAUUUUGGUAACCUUUUAAGAUAAUCAUAUGUUUAAUGUAGUAUUUUCUUUUUAACUGCAUAGUUGCAAAGCUUCUUUUAUUCCAUUUAUUGAUAGACAUUAUAUGUUAGGUCAAGUUCACUGCUGUUAGCUUUCCUCUAUAACAUAAUAUAAAAAAAAUUGACUAAGAAGCUAUUGCUGCUAAGAACAUAAUGUUCUCACCCCAAUGAUUAAACACAUAUUUAAACUCCUACUUACCCUCUUAUUUCUUAUGAGGGUAGUACUAGUUCUCAGGUACUACUGCUGUGCUGUGCCUCAUGGUGUGCAAAGUCAUUUGUCAAUGCAUUUAAAGAAAGUGAAACAGAUUGCACAUUUUCAACAGAUGUUUUAUUGUGCAUCAGUUUAUUAAUUGUGUUAUGAUAUAAAAUGAGUUGAAUUCAGGAAAUGCAGUGACACAGUCAGGUAUCCAUAAAACCUAUAAGCAAACUUAAACAGGUCAUGAUGUGUUUUCUUGGUAUCUGUUCGAGGAUGUGUGCAGGCUGCCCAGAGGUGACCUCGGCUGAAAUCUAUCCAUGACAGUGAUAGGCUCAAUCCUGCUGAAGGAGCAAGGACACCAAGGAGCAGAAGUUCCUGUCACUCAAGAGAUACACAGAGACCAGGCAAGGUGGAAAGGGUUACACUUCCUGAAGCAGAAGCAUAACUCUAGGAGCACUUACAUUCGCAACUAAUUGCCAGCUUCAUCCUAACAUGCAGCAUUGUCCAGGACUGGUUGAAGUUUCAUAGUAAGACAUUUAUUUGCCUUUUGUUUUAGCAACUCAAGCUUUUAAUGACAAUUUUGCCUGUACAAUGAAAUGAUCACAAGUGCAUUCAAGUAUAAAAAGAAACUUUACAAGUUACUAAAAAUGUACAUGAGACUAUCAUAUACAGCUGAAAUAUAAUUCAUUCUUCCGAUCUCGCUUUCACCAUAACUCAGUUUCAAACAUGCUUCUGUCCUUUUCACCAUAGAUUUUAAUCAUGUUUCUCCUUCUCCACUUGUCUGACAUACACUUUCACCUCUAAACCUUUUUCAAACAGACUCAAAUAUUUUAAUCUGUUCCACAUCAAAGAUCCUACUAAUAUGGACUAAAGAGCAAUAAGUAUUGGUGAUAGCAAAGGAAACAUGAAGAAAAUAUUCUGAGAAAGUUUUUAAAGCAUUUCACCAUACUCGAUUAGACUUUACUUCCACGUCCUUUCUUUUCAAUACACUCCACUUUUCUGUACUUCUUUCUAUGAAGCAUACAUUCACUUAUUUCAGUAUUUAAUAGAACUUAUAUACAUGUCAGCUGGUUAUCGUGCUGUAUAAAUUGUCCAUUGGAUUUCAUGUAAAGUUAGAAUGUAGUUUAGUCAAUUAACCAAGAAUGACAAUGUGGGCAUCAUGAAAGAAAGUUUUAGAAACUUAGAGUAACUUGUUAAACAAGUCAUUGGCCUUCGUAGACCUCACCUUUGGUCACAUUACAACCACAAACAUUAACGUGUAAAGAGAAUUAAAUUGUUAUGCCUUCAUGGAAGGUCCUAUGUGUUCCAGAAGAUUAAUCCUGCACAUUAACCUAAGCAAAUACUCACCAUGGUGAAACGUAGUGCUGGCAGCAUUAUCCUGUGGGGAUGAUUUUCCUAAGCAGAAAUGAUAUCUUGUCUGAGUUCCUACAAAGUUGCAUAAAGCUUAAUAUGGGCCAUAUGA